rnacentral:rRNA from 1 species
UACGUAGGGUGCAAGCGUUGUCCGGAAUUAUUGGGCGUAACGAGCUCGUAGGCGGUCUGUCGCGUCUGCUGUGAAAACUCGGGGCUUAACCCCGGGCCUGCAGUGGGUACGGGCAGACUAGAGUGCGGUAGGGGAGACUGGAAUUCCUGGUGUAGCGGUGAAAUGCGCAGAUAUCAGGAGGAACACCGGUGGCGAAGGCGGGUCUCUGGGCCGAUACUGACGCUGAGGAGCGAAAGCAUGGGUAGCGAACAGG